CACUGACACCUCAAAUUUAUGCCACUCCUGAUGGCCCUCUCCAAAUGGUCCAUCAAGGUACAGCUGCCAAGAGAGGAGGGAGAUGAAAUGAGCCUGGCCCUGCCACAGCUCUGAGACCAGAAACGGAGACACAGGCAGAGGGAGGAUACAGAACAUUCUAGUCUUUUCUGAGGCACCCCAGUCCUCUCCCAGGCUGGCUUUGGGACGGCUGGAGCUUCUAGUCUCAGGAUAGGGACUUCUCAGGGUCACUUCUCACCAUCUGCAAGUCUCCUGGGAGCUAAGCACAGCCCUUUCUGGGUCUACUUCUAUCAGGAAACUUUCAGGAACCCCAGAGAGUGGCUUUUUGUUGUUGUCGUUUUUGGAGACAGAGUCAGAGGCAGUGAUGGGGUCAGGAGGCCUGGUGAGCUGUCUCCCCAUGUCUGAAGAUUUGGCCUCUGUCGCUCCCGACCCAGGUCAG
rnacentral:lncRNA from 1 species